AAAAAAGAUAAAAAUAGGGAACACCCACUUCAUCAAAAAUCCACUCCCACCACAAAUCCGACCCGAUUCACCACCACCUCAUCAUGCACCAGGAGCUGCAUCCUUUACCUUGCUCUGGAGGUACCCACCAUACUCCUUAGCAUAAUCUUUCAUAUGGCUCGCCGUGUCGUAGAUUCGGCUGCGGGCAUAAUCCAAACGGUCCGAACCCGGUGGGUUCAUCCCUCUGUAAUACCUAUACAUCCAUGAUAAUCCACCCACAACUGCCACCACCACUCCGCAAACAGACAAGAACCCGGCCACGGAGAGAAAGAGGACGAUUCCGACGGGUACCCAUAUAGGGCUGGAAACGAUGAUCAAAGGAGCAAAAAAUAUUAGGACAAGAACUGUGACUGUGACGGUGAUGCCUGUGAGGAGGAGAAGAAUGGAACCGGAGAUGAGGAGGGUCAAGAAACCGAAGAGUUGGGUUGAGUUGGGAGCAUGAGCUUGCAGUUUACGUAGAAAGGUGGAGGUGUUGGUUGUGGCUGAAGGUCUUGAAGUUCUAUGGGGAGCAGUGCGGUCAGCCAUGAUAUGAACCUUGACGAGAGAUAGAGAGAGAGAGAGA
rnacentral:misc_RNA from 1 species